GAUGAACGCUGGCGGCGUGCCUAAUACAUGCAAGUCGAGCGAACGGACGAGAAGCUUGCUUCUCUGAUGUUAGCGGCGGACGGGUGAGUAACACGUGGAUAACCUACCUAUAAGACUGGGAUAACUUCGGGAAACCGGAGCUAAUACCGGAUAAUAUUUUGAACCGCAUGGUUCAAAAGUGAAAGACGGUCUUGCUGUCACUUAUAGAUGGAUCCGCGCUGCAUUAGCUAGUUGGUAAGGUAACGGCUUACCAAGGCAACGAUGCAUAGCCGACCUGAGAGGGUGAUCGGCCACACUGGAACUGAGACACGGUCCAGACUCCUACGGGAGGCAGCAGUAGGGAAUCUUCCGCAAUGGGCGAAAGCCUGACGGAGCAACGCCGCGUGAGUGAUGAAGGUCUUCGGAUCGUAAAACUCUGUUAUUAGGGAAGAACAUAUGUGUAAGUAACUGUGCACAUCUUGACGGUACCUAAUCAGAAAGCCACGGCUAACUACGUGCCAGCAGCCGCGGUAAUACGUAGGUGGCAAGCGUUAUCCGGAAUUAUUGGGCGUAAAGCGCGCGUAGGCGGUUUUUUAAGUCUGAUGUGAAAGCCCGCGGCUCAACCGUGGAGGGUCAUUGGAAACUGGAAAACUUGAGUGCAGAAGAGGAAAGUGGAAUUCCAUGUGUAGCGGUGAAAUGCGCAGAGAUAUGGAGGAACACCAGUGGCGAAGGCGACUUUCUGGUCUGUAACUGACGCUGAUGUGCGAAAGCGUGGGGAUCAAACAGGAUUAGAUACCCUGGUAGUCCACGCCGUAAACGAUGAGUGCUAAGUGUUAGGGGGUUUCCGCCCCUUAGUGCUGCAGCUAACGCAUUAAGCACUCCGCCUGGGGAGUACGACCGCAAGGUUGAAACUCAAAGGAAUUGACGGGGACCCGCACAAGCGGUGGAGCAUGUGGUUUAAUUCGAAGCAACGCGAAGAACCUUACCAAAUCUUGACAUCCUUUGACAACUCUAGAGAUAGAGCUUUCCCCUUCGGGGGACAAAGUGACAGGUGGUGCAUGGUUGUCGUCAGCUCGUGUCGUGAGAUGUUGGGUUAAGUCCCGCAACGAGCGCAACCCUUAAGCUUAGUUGCCAUCAUUAAGUUGGGCACCCUAAGUUGACUGCCGGUGACAAACCGGAGGAAGGUGGGGAUGACGUCAAAUCAUCAUGCCCCUUAUGAUUUGGGCUACACACGUGCUACAAUGGACAAUACAAAGGGCAGCGAAACCGCGAGGUCAAGCAAAUCCCAUAAAGUUGUUCUCAGUUCGGAUUGUAGUCUGCAACUCGACUACAUGAAGCUGGAAUCGCUAGUAAUCGUAGAUCAGCAUGCUACGGUGAAUACGUUCCCGGGUCU
rnacentral:rRNA from 1 species